UACGGAGGGUGCAAACGUUGCUCGGAAUCAUUGGGCGUAAAGCGCACGUAGGCGGCCUGUUAAGUCGGAUGUGAAAGCCCUCAGCUCAACUGAGGAAGUGCGCCCGAAACUGCAGAGCUUGAGUGCCGGAGAGGGUGGCGGAAUUCCCCAAGUAGAGGUGAAAUUCGUAGAUAUGGGGAGGAACACCGGUGGCGAAGGCGGCCACCUGGACGGUAACUGACGCUGAGACGCGAAAGCGUGGGGAGCGAACAGG
rnacentral:rRNA from 1 species